GACGAACGCUGGCGGCGUGCCUAAUACAUGCAAGUCGAGCGCUGAAGGUUGGUACUUGUACCAAGUGGAUGAGCAGCGAACGGGUGAGUAACGCGUGUGGAAUCUGCCUUUGAUCGGGGGACAACAUUUGGAAACGAAUGCUAAUACCGCAUAAAAACUUGAAACACAAGUUUUAAGUUUGAAAGAUGCCAUUGCAUGACUCACAGAUGAUCCCGCGUUGUAUUGGCUAGUUGGUGAGGUAAAAGCUCACCAAGGCGAUGAUACAUAGCCGACCUGAGAGGGCGGUCGGCCACACUGGGAGUGAGACAGGGCCCAAUGUCCCACGGGUGGGAGCCGUACGGAAACGUCGGGAAUGGGCGGGAGUCUGAGCGAGCAACGCCGAGUGCGGGAGGAAGGUCGUCGGAUGGUAAAACACUGUUGGUAGAGAAGAACGUUGGUGCGCGUGGAACGCUGAUCAAGUGACGGUAACGGCCAAGGAAGCGACGGCUAACUACGUG
rnacentral:rRNA from 1 species